AUUGAACGCUGGCGGCAGGCCUAACACAUGCAAGUCGAGCGGAUGACGGGAGCUUGCUCCUUGAUUCAGCGGCGGACGGGUGAGUAAUGCCUAGGAAUCUGCCUGAUAGUGGGGGACAACGUUUCGAAAGGAACGCUAAUACCGCAUACGUCCUACGGGAGAAAGCAGGGGACCUUCGGGCCUUGCGCUAUCAGAUGAGCCUAGGUCGGAUUAGCUAGUUGGUGGGGUAAUGGCUCACCAAGGCGACGAUCCGUAACUGGUCUGAGAGGAUGAUCAGCCACACUGGAACGGAGACACGGUCCAGACUCCUACGGGAGGCAGCAGUGGGGAAUAUUGGACAAUGGGCGAAAGCCUGAUCCAGCCAUGCCGCGUGUGUGAAGAAGGUCUUCGGAUUGUAAAGCACUUUAAGUUGGGAGGAAGGGCAGUAAGCUAAUACCUUGCUGUUUUGACGUUACCGACAGAAUAAGCACCGGCUAACUCUGUGCCAGCCGCCGCAGUAAUAC
rnacentral:rRNA from 1 species